UUCAACACCGGUUGCUUUUUACCACAUUUACGUUAGUAGGGCAGAGCAGGGCAAAACGUAACACAGAUUUUAUUUUUUUGGUUAGGUAGUGCAGCUUGAGUGACGUAUUUCAGGAUAAACACUCAGAAUGACCCUUGCUUUCUCUCCAACGAAAGAGCAAUCAGCUCCACCUGCAGGAUUAAGACAUGCACGCAGACUCACAGAGCAAGGGAACAUAACAGGAUCGAAAAGGGAAGACAUUCAACGGGAACUGCAGAAUAAUGCUGGGAUAACUUCAGAAGGGAAAAGAACAGGACCACAUAGAAGAGUUUAUGAUAAACUUUACUUUGGAGCUUAAAGAACUGUGGCAUACAUACAGCACGGCUGCACUCAAUCUCCUGAACAAGCUACCUCACUACCUCACUGACGUCUUACAUUGGUUGGUAUAUCCUGUUUCGAAAAGCCUAGGGCUCCACCUAGUGGAUAACCUGACUACACUACAAAUGUACAGUAUCGUGAUAAGUUUUCACCAGUUGGCAAUAGGCUAUGAAAAACAUUUAAAUGUAAUCAAUAGAUAGAUUAGAAACAGUGUUUGUA